CUGGAUCUGGGGUGGAGCGUGGGCUUUUGCAUUCCCACAAUCCCCCUGGGACCAACGCUGAUCGUAACUCAACUUUUGGUAGCAUGUAGAGGUGCUGCUUGGAAGCUGCAGAAGCGACUCCGAUGGUUGGCUGCAAGGUGAAGAGCUCAGGAAGGCCAGGAAGCUACAGAGGACUCAGCGUCACCCAAGGGAGUCUGGGCUAGUUGGUUUGAGAAACUCUGGUGUCAGGACCAAGAAUGACACCCAACAAUGGAGAGAGAGCUGGUGUGUUUCUUUGAGCCUCCUUUUAGCUGCAGUGUGGUACCAUGGACACAUCCCAGUAUCAAGGUAAGGGCUAACUUAAUUAAGAAUGAAUAAAUGAACUAAUAAUUGAUACUGCUUGGGUCUGCUCCCUGUGCCACAUGCUUUGUUACAUA
rnacentral:lncRNA from 1 species